GAGUUUGAUCAUGGCUCAGGACGAACGCUGGCGGCGUGCCUAAUACAUGCAAGUCGAACGAACCGCGACUGAGUGCUUGCACUUGGUCAAGGUGAGUGGCGAACGGGUGAGUAACACGUGGGUAACCUACCUCAUAGUGGGGGAUAACAGUCGGAAACGACUGCUAAUACCGCAUAGGACAUGGGAUCACAUGAUUCCGUGAGGAAAGGUGGCGCAAGCUAUCGCUAAGAGAUGGACCCGCGGUGCAUUAGCUAGUUGGUAGGGUAACGGCCUACCAAGGCAAUGAUGCAUAGCCGACCUGAGAGGGUGAUCGGCCACAUUGGGACUGAGACACGGCCCAAACUCCUACGGGAGGCAGCAGUAGGGAAUCUUCCGCAAUGGACGCAAGUCUGACGGAGCAACGCCGCGUGAGUGAAGAAGGUCUUCGGAUCGUAAAGCUCUGUUGUUAGAGAAGAACAGCGCAUAGAGUAACUGUUAUGCGUGUGACGGUAUCUAACCAGAAAGCCACGGCUAACUACGUGCCAGCAGCCGCGGUAAUACGUAGGUGGCGAGCGUUGUCCGGAUUUAUUGGGCGUAAAGGGAGUGUAGGCGGUCUUUUAAGUCUGAUGUGAAAGCCCACGGCUCAACCGUGGAGGGUCAUUGGAAACUGGGAGACUUGAGUGCAGAAGAGGAGAGCGGAAUUCCAUGUGUAGCGGUGAAAUGCGUAGAUAUAUGGAGGAACACCAGUGGCGAAGGCGGCUCUCUGGUCUGUAACUGACGCUGAGGCUCGAAAGCGUGGGGAGCAAAACAGGAUUAGAUACCCUGGUAGUCCACGCCGUAAACGAUGAGUGCUAAGUGUUGGAGGGGUUCCACCCUUCAGUGCUGGAGUUAACGCAAUAAGCACUCCGCCCUGGGGAGUACGGCCGCAAGGCUGAAAACUCAAAAGGAAAUUGACGGGGACCCGCACAAGCGGUGGAGCAUGUGGUUUAAUUUCGAAGCACGCGAAGAACCUUACCAGGUCUUGACAUCCCGACGACCGCUCUAGAGAUAGAGUUUUUUCUUCGGAAACGUCGGUGACAGGUGGUGCAUGGUUGUCGUCAGCUCGUGUCGUGAGAUGUUGGGUUAAGUCCCGCAACGAGCGCAACCCCUAUAAACUAGUUGCCAGCGAUUAAGAUGGGAACUCUAGUUAGACUGCCGGUGACGAAACCGGAGGAAAGGUGGGGAUGAACGUCGAAAUCAUCGAUGCCCCUUAUGACCUGGGCUACGCGCGUGCUACGAAUGGAUGGUACGAACGAGCGGCGAAACUCGCGAGGGCGAGCGAUUCUCUAAAAGCCGUUUCUCGAGUUUCGGAUUGUGAGUUCUGCGGACUCGGACUACAUAAGCUCGGAGUCGCGAGUGAUUCGCGUGUCGGGGCGCCGCGGUUGGUCGUUCCCCGGG
rnacentral:rRNA from 1 species